rnacentral:rRNA from 1 species
AUUGAACGCUGGCGGCAGGCCUAACACAUGCAAGUCGAGCGGAUGACGGGAGCUUGCUCCUUGAUUCAGCGGCGGACGGGUGAGUAAUACCUAGGAAUCUGCCUGAUAGUGGGGGACAACGUUUCGAAAGGAACGCUAAUACCGCAUACGUCCUACGGGAGAAAGCAGGGGACCUUCGGGCCUUGCGCUAUCAGAUGAGCCUAGGUCGGAUUAGCUAGUUGGUGAGGUAAUGGCUCACCAAGGCGACGAUCCGUAACUGGUCUGAGAGGAUGAUCAGUCACACUGGAACUGAGACACGGUCCAGACUCCUACGGGAGGCAGCAGUGGGGAAUAUUGGACAAUGGGCGAAAGCCUGGUCCAGCCAUGCCGCGUGUGUGAAGAAGGUCUUCGGAUUGUAAAGCACUUUAAGUUGGGAGGAAGGGCAGUAAGCUAAUACCUUGCUGUUUUGACGUUACCGACAGAAUAAGCACCGGCUAACUCUGUGCCAGCCGCCGCAGUAAGAC